GGUCCUGCACAUAUGCUCCGGCCUUCCACCAAGGGGGCGCUCUGUGUGUAGCACUUAUUUUGGUGAGGUGGUGAACCCACAAGUAAAUUCGCCUUCUAUAUCCUGGAGUGCUGCCUGUGUUUUUCUUUUUUGUCAGUGAGUGUAUGUCUGAUUAGAAAAUCGGUGGGGCUUAUAGAUAGAGAGGUGAAGUUGUUGCCAUAGAAACAUGUAUGUCUAGACAUUUGCAAAGGGGAGGGAUAAGAUUACCACCCCACAUGGAGGUGCCAAAAUUUUUUUGCACCUAGGCGUCUGUGACCCUAGGAUUGGCAGCAGUGCAGGCAGCUCUCAAAGGACUUCUUCAUACUCAUUUGAAGACCUCUUGGGAAACACCCUGCAAUGGAGUAGAU